UACGAAGGGGGCUAGCGUUGUUCGGAAUUACUGGGCGUAAAGCGUGCGCAGGCGGCUUUGCAAGACAGAUGUGAAAUCCCCGGGCUUAACCUGGGAACUGCAUUUGUGACUGCAUGGCUGGAGUGCGGCAGAGGAGGAUGGAAUUCCGCGUGUAGCAGUGAAAUGCGUAGAUAUGCGGAGGAACACCGAUGGCGAAGGCAAUCCCCUGGGCCUGCACUGACGCUCAUGCACGAAAGCGUGGGGAGCAAACAGG
rnacentral:rRNA from 1 species